rnacentral:piRNA from 1 species
UUCUCGACUGCCAGCGACAUAGGAGC